AGUCGAGCGAGUCUGCCUUGAAGAUCGGAGUGCUUGCACUCUGUGAAACAAGAUACAGGCUAGCGGCGGACGGGUGAGUAACACGUGGGUAACCUGCCCAAGAGAUCGGGAUAACACCUGGAAACAGAUGCUAAUACCGGAUAACAACAGAUGAUGCCUAUCAACUGUUUAAAAGAUGGUUCUGCUAUCACUCUUGGAUGGACCUGCGGUGCAUUAGCUAGUUGGUAGGGUAACGGCCUACCAAGGCGAUGAUGCAUAGCCGAGUUGAGAGACUGAUCGGCCACAUUGGGACUGAGACACGGCCCAAACUCCUACGGGAGGCAGCAGUAGGGAAUCUUCCACAAUGGACGCAAGUCUGAUGGAGCAACGCCGCGUGAGUGAAGAAGGGUUUCGGCUCGUAAAGCUCUGUUGUUGGUGAAGAAGGACAGGGGUAGUAACUGACCUUUGUUUGACGGUAAUCAAUUAGAAAGUCACGGCUAACUACGUGCCAGCAGCCGCGGUAAUACGUAGGUGGCAAGCGUUGUCCGGAUUUAUUGGGCGUAAAGCGAGUGCAGGCGGCUCGAUAAGUCUGAUGUGAAAGCCUUCGGCUCAACCGGAGAAUUGCAUCAGAAACUGUCGAGCUUGAGUACAGAAGAGGAGAGUGGAACUCCAUGUGUAGCGGUGAAAUGCGUAGAUAUAUGGAAGAACACCGGUGGCGAAGGCGGCUCUCUGGUCUGUUACUGACGCUGAGGCUCGAAAGCAUGGGUAGCGAACAGGAUUAGAUACCCUGGUAGUCCAUGCCGUAAACGAUGAGUGCUNNNNGUUGGGAGGUUUCCGCCUCUCAGUGCUGCAGCUA
rnacentral:rRNA from 1 species